UACGUAGGGGGCAAGCGUUGUCCGGAAUCACUGGGCGUAAAGCGCGCGCAGGCGGUCAUCUACGUCUGGGGUGAAAGCCCGGAGCUCAACUCCGGGAUUGCCUUGGAUACGGGAUGACUUGAGGAUCGGAGAGGCAAGGGGAAUUCCACGUGUAGCGGUGAAAUGCGUAGAGAUGUGGAGGAACGCCUGUGGCGAAGGCGCCUUGCUGGCCGAUUUCUGACGCUGAGGCGCGAAAGCGUGGGGAGCAAACAGG
rnacentral:rRNA from 1 species